rnacentral:rRNA from 1 species
CCCGCUGAACUUAAGCAUAUCAAUAAGCGGAGGAAAAGAAACUAACAAGGAUUCCCCUAGUAACGGCGAGUGAAGCGGGAAGAGCUCAAAUUUAAAAUCUGGCGGUUUCACCGUCCGAGUUGUAAUCUGGAGAAGUGUUUUCCGCGUCGGACCGUGUACAAGUCUCUUGGAACAGAGCGUCAUAGAGGGUGAGAAUCCCGUCUUUGACACGGACUACCGAUGCUAUGUGAUGCACUCUCGAAGAGUCGAGUUGUUUGGGAAUGCAGCUCAAAAUGGGUGGUAAAUUCCAUCUAAAGCUAAAUAUUGGCGAGAGACCGAUAGCGAACAAGUACCGUGAGGGAAAGAUGAAAAGCACUUUGGAAAGAGAGUUAAACAGUACGUGAAAUUGUUGAAAGGGAAACGCUUGAAGUCAGUCGCGUCUUCAGAGAUUCAGCCUUGCUUCUGCUCGGUGUACUUCUCAGUUGACGGGUCAACAUCAGUCUUGUUCGGUGGAUAAAGGCGGGAGAAAUGUGGCAUUGCUUGCAAUGUGUUAUAGUCUCUCCGUUGCAUACGCCGGGUGGGACUGAGGAACUCAGCACGCCUUCACAGGCCGGAGGUUCGCCUCACGGUCGUGCUUAGGAUGUUGGCAUAAUGGCUCUAAACGACUCGUCUUGAAACACGG